rnacentral:rRNA from 1 species
CCUACGGGAGGCAGCAGUGAGGAAUAUUGGUCAAUGGCCGUAAGGCUGAACCAGCCAAGUAGCGUGAAGGAUGACGGCUCUACGGUUUGUAAACUUCUUUUAUAGAGGAAUAAAGGGAGCCACGUGUGGAUAUUUGUAUGUACUGUAUGAAUAAGGAUCGGCUAACUCCGUGCCAGCAGCCGCGGUAAUACGGAGGAUCCGAGCGUUAUCCGGAUUUAUUGGGUUUAAAGGGAGCGUAGAUGGGUUGUUAAGUCAGUGGUGAAAGUUUGUGGCUCAACCAUAAAAUUGCCAUUGAUACUGGAAGACUUGAGUGCAGUUGAGGUAGGCGGAAUGCGUGGUGUAGCGGUGAAAUGCUUAGAUAGCACGAAGAACUCCGAUUGCGAAGGCAGCUUACUAAGCUACAACUGACACUGAAGCACGAAAGUGUGGGGAUCAAACAGGAUUAGAUACCCCAGUAGUC